GACAGAGGUGCCGAGCGUUAGGCGGAAUCGACUGGGCUUAAAGCGUGUGUAGGCGGGUCGUUAAGUGUCUUGUGAAAUCCCACCGCUCAACGGUGGAACCGCUGGCAUACGUGGCGAUCUUGAGCAGUCCGAGGGGCGAGCGGAACAAGCGGUGGAGCGGUGAAAUGCGUAGAUAUCAUUGGAACGCCAAUGGUGAAAACAGGUAGCUGGGGCUGAUGCUGACACUGAGACACGAAAGCCAGGGAGGCAAACGGG
rnacentral:rRNA from 1 species